rnacentral:lncRNA from 1 species
UUUUUUUUUUUUUUUUAAGAUUCUAUUUGUCUAUCUAUCUAUCUAUCUAUCUAUCUAUCUAUCUUGGAGAAUGAGAGCAUGUGUGUGAGUGAGGGGAGGGGCAGAGGGAGAGGGAAUCACAAGCAGAUUCACACAGUGUAGAGUCCAACUUGGGGCUCAAUCUCAGGAUCCUGAGACCAUGACCUGAGCCAAAAUCAAGAGUUGGAUCCUCAACCAACUGAGCCACCCAGGCACCCCUGCAUGUGUAUGAAUUCUUCACAGGACCCCAUCAAGAUUUGGCCUGAGACUCAGGGGCUCAGCGAGCCAUUCCUGCCAGCCCUCUCCAUCAUAGAAACCAGCUCCAAGAUAGAGUGCUGCAUGCAGAAGGAUUUUAAGAACUACUCCCUGGAGAUAACUAAUAGGGAGGUAAGGAAGGCUGAGAUGGGCAAAGAAAGAAGCAAACCCACAAUAAGAUGGUACCUGAAGUCUUUAUGGAUCUAAUAAGGAGCUCCAAGCUGCUGGCUCUCUAGGGUUGUCCUGAACCAAGGCAAGAAGCUGAGUCAUGUGCCAUGAGCUGCCCCACCCUGACAGCAGCUUAGCCUUGAACAAGGAAGUGACUGAGAGCAAUAAUCCAGAUAUGUAGCUGUGAACUAUCAGCAAACAACCCUCCUACAGUUGAGAAAAUGGGUGGUUAGACCCUGAAAAGGGAUCUGCGCUGAGCAUGAGAGAAUCUACCACACGAUCUGGACCAGCAGUUCUCAAAUAGGGUCCCAGGUGAUGCUGCACCAGAGGCAUUGUGGCAUUGUCUGGGAACCCAUUAGAAAUGCAAAUCCUCAGGCUCCACCCCAGACUUCUUGAAUCAGGAAUACUGUGGGUGCUGCUGGCAACCUGGGUUUGAACAAGCCAUCCAGGAAUGCUGAUGCAUGCCUUAGUCUGAGAACCACUGAUCUAAAGCAUGCCUAUUAUACUUUAUAUUACUGCCUUAGAUUUCAUUUGGCCCUCUAAGGUUUUAUUUGGAAAUUAUUCUGGGGGGUACCUGACACAUAGUAAAUUCUGCAAGAGUGUGUGUGUAAUAAAUGCUUUGCAUUCCUUCCACAGCAGGCCUUGUCUGAUGAUGCCCCGGAGCCCAGCACAGUGCCUGGCCCAAUGUGAGUACAUAAAUGGAUUCAAAGUCUCCAUCUUUCCCCCUACAUCUCCCUCACUGACUCUAUCCUCUCAUUCCCUAAAUGUCUUUAUAUAGAGAUUGGCUUCUCAGUCUUCACCUUUCCAAGUAGAUGACUAAUUCUCUAACCCCCACAUGCAACUGAGCCAUUGCCCUUCAUCCCUGACUCUGUUCCUGUGACAGGACAUGAGGGUACAGAUUUGGUAAGCAAAGCUGAGGCCAGCCUCAGUCAGCCGGCACUCCUAGAUCUGUGGGCAAGUUGUGCCACACCCAAGUGCACUGCAUGUUCUGACAUGAACACUGACUCACGGACAGUUCUUUUCCUUACCCCUAAAUGGUGGUGGACAUUUUGGCUUCCACAACACACUGGCUCUGGGUUAUCGCUGUGGAUAAAACAGCUAUCUACAUGACAGGCUCUUGGGAUCAGAAUUCCAUGAGGUGAAUUCUGCCCAGGAAACUGUGUUGGGGUACCAUGUAUUUUCAGUCCAGAAUAUUUUAGAUGAAUCUAUAAAUGAUCUGGGAGACCAGCUCUAGUAUCAUUUCAUAGGAAACAACACUACUCUUAGAUGUUAAAUUUUUAAAAAAAAAAAUUUUUUUGGGGGGGGUUGUUAUUCUUGUGUCUAAGCCAAAUUCCUCAUCUAGCUAAAAUAUUAAAAUACCAAGUAAAUAUUAAAAAAUAAAAAUACUUUAGGGUGGACACAUCUCCAAAACUUGUUGGAGGUCUACAUGGUACACGCCCAAGGGUUCCUCACUAUGUCUCUGCAUAUUUAGUCCCCUAACCCCACCCAGGCCAUGAUCAGGUCUUAGUCAGAAGAGAUACUGGGACAGAAAACACAUUGCCUCUUUUUCAGAAGUUGGGUUUGCUUCAGCUGUGGCCGCUCUGCCCUUUGGAACACACAGCCCAGUCUGUCGGAAUGUGAAGUGAGGCAUGGUGCUCCGAGAACAGGAGUUCCAUUACUGAGCUUUACAGAAAUGAGAAGAGGCUGUGCAUGUGACAAUCCUGGUGUAUGCUAAAUAUUAAGGUAUCAAAUACACUUAUCAUUUGGAGUAACAGCCCAGAUAACAACCUUCAAGAGUAGAGCAAAUGGGACAGCGACAAGGAAGUGACAGAAGUCACUUCUGUGAUCCAUGGGACUUCUUACCAGGUGGCCCCAAAGAUACAUUCCAAUUCCAAGAUUCGUUUCUGAAGAGCUUUGAAAACAAAUAAAGCAGCCAAUACUAUGCAAAAGGGGAUUUUACUAAACUGACGAUAAGACUGAUUGUCAUAGAAACAGACAAAACUGAUGAAAUCAGCUUUCUAGGAGAGGGGACGGAUGGGAUAGCUAGUUGACAAUUUAUUCUUGGAAUAAAUUUUUAAUAGCAGUGAUUCACACCUACUGAAAAAGCCAUUCUCACUGGAACCCGUGUGGGCCCAUCUCUAAUUCAGAUAUUCUCUCAAAUCUACCAGGUAAUGCCAGCUGAACAGUUGAUUUUAUAUUUUUAAACAAGUUUGCAUGUCGACAAGUUAGAGGAAUAAACCAAGCUGAGUACACUUAACCUACCAGAAAGCGCCCAUUACUC